rnacentral:lncRNA from 1 species
AUGUUUACAAGAGGAAGAAGAAGGAGAAGGAGAAGGAGAAGGAGAAGGAGAAGGAGAAGGAGAAGGAGAAGGAGAAGGAGAAGGAGAACAAGGAGGAGAACAAGGAGGAGAACAAGGAGGAGAAUGAGGAGGAGAAGGAGGAGAAGGAGGAGAAGGAGGAAGAGGAGUGGGAGAAGAAGGAACUUACAAAAAAGGCCUUUUCUGGUAUAAAAAUAUCUUCUGGGAGGAAAGGGGGGAUCUCUCCAUGAUGCUUUGAAGAUGGAUGGAAAGGAGAAAAAGCAGCUGUUCUUGAGGUGCAAUAUGGAAAGAACUGACCCCUUCAUCCAAAAUUACAUAUGCCUAUCAUACAGUGUUGUAAAUCUAAAUGGCAACAUCAAAUGCAUGCCAUUGGGGUUGUAGCAAAGCUCCAUCUAUCAAAAACAAAGACUUUUUAAUGAGGCAUUUACUACAAAAGAACAUUUAAGUUCAAGUUCAAUUGCUUCCUUGCUAGUGUAUCCUAAGAGAGUGCUGCUUCACCUGGCUGCUGGGUUGCUGAUAAAUACCUGCUGGUCCACUGAAAUGAUUAUGAUGUUGCUCCAUCCAGCAAUGGAAAUUCAUCAAAUAUAAAUUGAUGACAUAUUUAUAGCACAUGUGUGUUUAUGGAGAGGCACUGAAGCUGGUUCCCUAAUGAAACUGACUUACUGGCUGGAGUGGCUGACAUUCCUUUGUGCUGCUCUUCAGGUGUUCUCCUGCUAAGCUCUGCUCCUUUUCCUAUCUCUGGGUCUUAAUAAGCUGCAAAAUUAUUGCUUCUAUAUUGUUUUCUGGAUCAUCUAACCACUCUGCUGCUAGGGCUCUUGAUAAGAAUAUAUCUGCUUUGUAGGCAAGAUGCAGUUAAGUAAUAUUUCUCUUUCAUUUUAGUCCAGAUAUACAACAUUUCUGGCUAUUGCUCAUUUUAGUGAUGCUUUUUAUAUUGCAGUGGCAUUGACUGAAUUUCUUUUUGUUACUUUUUUGUCAUCACAAUAAACCAACAGUAAAUGGAGGAUGGAUGAAUGAG